rnacentral:lncRNA from 1 species
GAUAUUCCUUACUCACCAUAGCUAUAUUAUUGUUUGAUAGGUGCGCUUGCCUUUUUCGUAAUUAUAGUUAGUUUAGUGACCAUCACUUAUCCAUAGUGGAAUUGAGAGACAACUUCACAUAGUCUCUAGACUGCUCCUUCUAGUCAUCUAUGCAACCUCGACCACAUCGAGUGACUCCUUUACAUCAUCCAAGGACUGCUUGAGUUUAUCCACACGUUCCUCUACUACCGACAACAUAUCCUUCAAAAGGAUUGAUUUUCUGGCCAACUUUUGAUCAAAAUCUUCUUUCAACAUCCUAUCAAUGCCUACGCAACCAAAGCUUGGAUACCACUUGUCACGGGGCUAGAACUUUUGUCUCGCGUUCCGUGAAGCCUUAGACGCUCCUUCUAUGCAAACACGCUUAAGUUAGCAAAAUCACCACAAUUGUAGAUUCAAUUAGAAUUCCUCCAAGGCACCAAUUUAUAUAGCAGAAACAAUUAUGCCAAAAGCAAGCUAAAGAAAACAAAAAGCCACAAAAAAAUAUGCAUGAGAGGUGUUUGAGUAAAUGCUCUCAACUAUAUUACUUUCUCUCAAAGAAUAUAAGAAACAAUGAAAGAAUGAAGUGAGUUACAAGUGAGGAGGAAACUCUCUAUUUAUAGUUGAGCUCCUCCAAAAUCGACGAUCUAGAUCAAGUUACAUCGACGAACGAGAUUAGCCUAUCCUUUAAAUCUAGGGAUUUAAAAGAUUACAUAAUCAAUUUACAUAAUUAAAUCCAAUCUAAUCUUGUAAGAUAUGCUUCCCCUCAAUCUUUUAAGAUUAGUUUCCCUAUUUACCAAUGGAGCUUAUCUUUCCAAAUCAGCAUAAUUGGGCCACCCAGACUUUAAUCUGACAGGCUUCUACAAUAAUUUAUUGAAUCGAGCUUGUUCUCAUGGGCCAAAUGAUCCUCAUUUAAACGAUAGACCUGUAUGGGAUACAUUUGGUGCGACGAUCACGAGCUUUAAACUACGGCCCGUGACACACAUAAUUAUGCAUUACCAAUAAAAUUCGCAUGUUAUAAAAGUUUGCAUUAUAUUAUUUAUCUUUUCAUAUCCAUUCACAAUUAUUACAUAACCAUAUACGAAUAUAUAUACAUAUAUAUACAUACUUAUUUAAUGACAUUUGUCACAUUAAAUUUUAGCAUACAUUAGUCUAUAAACAUAUAUAUUAUAUAACACCAAACCCCUAAAUAUAUAUACAUACUUACCUUUUAUUUCUUCAGCCAAAUUUUAAUGUUUGUUCAUCCACACACGCAACAGUUAAUACUCCAACCACUUAGGUCAAUUUAGGCAACAAUAACAAGACCAACUUUGCAUAUAUAUUGUGUAUACAUACAUACUUAUUUACACACAUAUAUAUAUAUCCUAUAUACAUACUUAUUUAGUUCAAUAGCUCCCAAUGUUCACACAUUCAACCUUUAAUACACAAUUCACUCACACACAUUUGGAACCUUCAACUUUGCACAACAUGCAUAUCCAAAAAUUCAAGAAAGAAUUCAACGAUUUGCACAAGGGAAAGCCAAAGUUUACAUACCACAAAGGGCCACCUUUAUGCUAAAACACAACAUACAAAUGCACUUACCUGUAGCUCACUUUUACUCGUCGAACUAGACAACUUUUUGCUUGUCUUUGUCGCAAUUUGUUGAGGUUCCACCAACGCUUUCAACUUCGAACAAAAAUAUACAUAUUACUAAGCAUUCAAAAACAAUCUAACUUAUCUCUUUGUGUUCAUACAACGACACUCCACUUACACAUAUUAAUCCGGCUUAUUUCGUACAAUCUAUUUCAUUUAAUUUAUUCUUUUUAGCUUAAUUAAAUCAUUAAUUUCUACCUCCUAAACCCCUAAUUGAAGUUUAAUUACAGAUCCAAAUCUCUAACUUUGCUCAAUUUCUUUAAUUAAUAAUUUUUUCAAAAAAAAAUGUUCUUCCUCAUUCUCAAAAGAAAACCAUUUAAUUCAUGCAAUUACUUAAAGAUUUUGAUAAAUUGAAUUUGUAAACCUCUUAAUGUCAUCAAAAUAUACUACAAAUCAUUUUAAAAACAUCUCUUAGCAUUUUAUUAUGAGAUUCAUCAUUUUUAUACAAAAGAUAGCUUUAAAACUAUUGAUCUCUAAUUUUCUUGCUUAGAUCUAUAAAAAUUCAAAUUUAAAAAAUAUAAUAAAAAUUUAAUACAUAAGAAAAUAAUAGAUUUAUCUUUAACUUAAAAACCUCCUGGAAUUUGUACGAAUUGAGCAAAAACGAGCUAAGUUUAGGUGAGAAAUUAGAGAAGAAAUAGUGGUUUUCUUGAAAAUUUGAAAGGAUAGGGGGUGUAUGGAUGCCAAGAAAUCUAAAGAAAUGCAAAAAAUUUGAGAGAAAAAUUGGAAUACUAGAUCUAACUAAAUUUUAAAACGAAAGAAAGUUGGGAGGAAACAAAACUAAAAAAACUGGACGCUGGUGGCUUUUUAUAGCCAACAAAAUUUUCUUUUAAAAAUGGACUAUUUACCCUUUAUGUCCUUUCCUAUUUUACCCUUGUUCUAAUAACUCUCCCUUUUAAUUACUAGCCUUAAUUUAUACAUUUAAUCUCUACUUUAACCACUAUUCCAAUAUUUCCUUCAUGCUUAUAAAUAGAUUGAAUGCAUGAAGAAACAAAGAGUAAAUCAAAGUUGAAAGAAUAUAAGGUAUGAAGGAAACCAAUUGUACCUGAGUUUUAUGAGGAUAAUUGGAAUUUUGGGAUGGGCACGAGCUUGCUCGAUCUAGAAUGAGAGACAAUUGUGGUAUGUUGCUU